AAGAAACAUAGAUGAAAUAAUACAGAAAUCAGUUUUAAAGGUCUACUUUAUUGAUAACAGACAAUGAGAAAGACAAAGAUGUAAGAAACAAAGGAAAAAAUCAUGCUUAAAAGUCUAUCAACACAUCAGCUUGUCUUACUAACAUCUCCACAACUUCUAUUAUCAACCACUGACCAAUACAUAGUAACAUACAUCCACACAUGAAAAGUUCAAAAGAUGAUGAAGAAACGUAGAUGAAAUAAUACAGAAAUCAGUUUUAAAGGUCUACUUUAUUGAUAACAGACAAUGAGAAAGACAAAGAUGUAAGAAACAAAGGAAAAAAUCAUGCUUAAAAGUCCACCGACACAUCAGCUAAUCUUAUCAUCAUCUCCACAACUUCUACAAUCAACUACUGACCAACACAUUAAGAGAUCAGAAGAUACUAAAGAAAAGUGAAUGAAAUAAUAAAAAACUAUUUUAAAGGUCGUCUUUGUGGAUAAUUGAUAAGGAGGAAGAAAAAUUGAUCAUUUAAUAGCAAAAAAAAAAUCAAUCUUAAAUGUCAUCUUCGUUAAUAAUUAACAAAAAGGAAAACGAUAACGAAGGAAACAAAGGAAA